rnacentral:snoRNA from 1 species
AGCAAUGAUGAGUGAAAGAACUUAACUGACUUGGUAUUGCUGCCCUUUGGCAUCAUUUGACCAAGAUCUGAUUGACUAAGUUUAAUCUUCUCUCUGAGCUG